GAUAAACGCUGGCGGCGUGCUUAACACAUGCAAGUCGAACGAAGUUUUUCCUUCGGGAGACACUUAGUGGCGGACGGGUGAGUAACGCGUGGGUAACCUGCCCUGUACAGGGGGACAACAGCUGGAAACGGCUGCUAAUACCGCAUAAGCACUUAGCACUGCAUGGUGCAUAGGGAAAAGGAGCAAUCCGGUACAGGAUGGACCCGCGUCUGAUUAGCCAGUUGGCAGGGUAACGGCCUACCAAAGCGACGAUCAGUAGCCGAUCUGAGAGGAUGUACGGCCACAUUGGGACUGAGACACGGCCCAGACUCCUACGGGAGGCAGCAGUGGGGAAUAUUGCACAAUGGAGGAAACUCUGAUGCAGCGACGCCGCGUGAGUGAAGAAGUAUUUCGGUAUGUAAAGCUCUAUCAGCAGGGAAGAAAAUGACGGUACCUGACUAAGAAGCACCGGCUAAAUACGU
rnacentral:rRNA from 1 species